rnacentral:rRNA from 1 species
AGCGAGCUUAACCGAAUAGGGGAGGCGUAGGGAAACCGAGUCUUAAUAGGGCGAUUAGUUGCUGGGCGUAGACCCGAAACCGGAUGAUCUAUCCAUGGCCAGGAUGAAGGUGCGGUAACACGCACUGGAGGUCCGAACCCACUAGUGUUGAAAAACUAGGGGAUGAGCUGUGGAUAGGGGUGAAAGGCUAAACAAAUCCGGAGAUAGCUGGUUCUCUCCGAAAGCUAUUUAGGUAGUGCCUCACGUAUCACCUUCGGGGGUAGAGCACUGUUUAGGCUAGGGGGUCAUCGCGACUUACCAAACCUAUGCAAACUCCGAAUACCGAAGAGUGCGAGCGUGGGAGACAGACAUCGGGUGCUAACGUUCGGUGUCGAGAGGGAAACAACCCAGACCGCCGAUUAAGGUCCCCAAGCCAUAGUUAAGUGGGAAACGAGGUGGGAAGGCUCAGACAGCCAGGAGGUUGGCUUAGAAGCAGCCAUCCUUUAAAGAAAGCGUAACAGCUCACUGGUCGAGUCGUCCUGCGCGGAAGAUGUAACGGGGCUUAAACUAUGCACCGAAAUCGCGGAUAUGUACUUGUACAUAUGGUAGGAGAGCGUUCCGUAGGCCGUUGAAGGUGGCUUGUAAAGGCUGCUGGAGGUAUCGGAAGUGCGAAUGCUGACAUGAGUAGCGAUAAAGCGGGUGAAAAGCCCGCUCGCCGAAAGCCCAAGGUUUCCUGCGCAACGUUCAUCGGCGCAGGGUGAGUCGGCCCCUAAGGCGAGGCAGAGAUGCGUAGUCGAUGGGAAACGGGUUAAUAUUCCCGUACUUGAUUUAAGUGCGAUGUGGGGACGGAGAAGGUUAGGUCAGCAAACUGUUGGAAUAGUUUGUUCAAGCCGGUAGGUGGAAGGAUUAGGCAAAUCCGGUUCUUCAUAACACCGAGAAGUGAUAACGAGUAUCUACGGAUACGAAGUGACUGAUACCACGCUUCCAGGAAAAGCCACUAAGCUCUAGCUUAAAUCGAACCGUACCGCAAACCGACACAGGUGGGCAGGAUGAGAAUUCUAAGGCGCUUGAGAGAACUCAGGAGAAGGAACUCGGCAAAUUGAUACCGUAACUUCGGGAGAAGGUAUGCCCUCUAAUGUAAAGGACUUGCUCCGGAAGCAUCUGAGGGUCGCAGAGAAUCGGUGGCUGCGACUGUUUAUUAAAAACACAGCACUCUGCAAACACGAAAGUGGACGUAUAGGGUGUGACGCCUGCCCGGUGCCGGAAGGUUAAGUGAUGGGGUGCAAGCUCUUGAUCGAAGCCCCGGUAAACGGCGGCCGUAACUAUAACGGUCCUAAGGUAGCGAAAUUCCUUGUCGGGUAAGUUCCGACCUGCACGAAUGGCGUAACGAUGGCCACACUGUCUCCUCCCGAGACUCAGCGAAGUUGAAAUGUUUGUGAAGAUGCAAUCUCCCCGCGGCUAGACGGAAAGACCCCAUGAACCUUUACUGUAGCUUUGCAUUGGACUUUGAACCGAUCUGUGUAGGAUAGGUGGGAGGCUUUGAAGCGAGGACGCUAGUUCUCGUGGAGCCAUCCUUGAAAUACCACCCUGGUUUGUUUGAGGUUCUAACCAUGACCCGUGAAUCCGGGUUUGGGACCGUGCAUGGUAGGCAGUUUGACUGGGGCGGUCUCCUCCCAAAGUGUAACGGAGGAGUACGAAGGUACGCUAGGUACGGUCGGACAUCGUGCUAAUAGUGCAAUGGCAAAAGCGUGCUUAACUGCGAGACCCACAAGUCGAGCAGAUACGAAAGUAGGUCAUAGUGAUCCGGUGGUUCUGUAUGGAAGGGCCAUCGCUCAACGGAUAAAAGGU